ensembl:lncRNA GAS5 growth arrest specific 5
CUUUUCGAGGUAGGAGUCGACUCCUGUGAGGUAUGGUGCUGGGUGCAGAUGCAGUGUGGCUCUGGAUAGCACCUUAUGGACAGUUGUGUCCCCAAGGAAGGAUGAGAAUAGCUACUGAAGUAAGUUGAAAAUUCCCUCUCAAAAAGGUUUAAAGCCAUUGGAUGUGCCACAAUGAUGACAGUUUAUUUGCUACUCUUGAGUGCUAGAAUGAUGAGGAUCUUAACCACCAUUAUCUUAACUGAGGCACCCAAAAUGGUGAGUUGGGGAACAUAGAGAGUACACCUAAGUUCACAUGAAGUUGUUUCUUCCCAGGUCCUAAAGAGCAAGCCUAACUCAAGCCAUUGGCACACAGGCAUUAGACAGAAAGCUGGAAGUUGAAAUGGUGGAGUCCAACUUGCCUGGACCAGCUUAAUGGUUCUGCUCCUGGUAACGUUUUUAUCCAUGGAUGACUUGCUUGGGUAAGGACAUGAAGACAGUUCCUGUCAUACCUUUUAAAGGUACAUGUUUUAUUGAUGUUAACGUUAAUUGAUUGAGCUACUGUUAGUGAUGAUUUUAAAAUUAAAGCAGAUGGGAAUCUCUCUGAGAAAGAAAAUGGAGAUUAAUCUUAAACUGAAACAGUAGUUGGGAAAUCUUUUAGAAAUCCACCUAUUACUACCUAUUGGUAAAGGAGAUUAAAUUUCUACAGGUAUGGAGAGUCGGCUUGACUACACUGUGUGGAGCAAGUUUUAAAGAAGCAAAGGUAUAGCAGUUCCAAGUAUUUUUUUUUUUUUUUUAGACAAGAGUCUAGCUCUUGCCCAGAAUGGAGUGCAGCGGCACUAUCAGUUCACUGCAACCUCUGCCUCCCAGGUUCAAGGAAUUCUCCUGCCUCAGCCUCUUGAGUAGCUGGGAUUACAGGCAUGUGACACCAUGCCUGGCUAAUUUUGUACAGCUAUGUUGUCCAGGCUGGUCUCGAACUCUUGACCUCAAGUGAUACUGCCCGCACUGACCUCCCAAAGUGCUGGGAUUACAGGCGUGAGCCACCAUGCCCCGCCUCAAGUCUGGUUUUUAAGUGUUGUAAAGCCGAUACAAUGAUGAUAACAUAGUUCAGCAGACUAACGCUGAUGAGCAAUAUUAAGUCUUUCGCUCCUAUCUGAUGUAUCUGGCGGUAACAUUCUAGUUUAUGCCCCGAAAAGGGGAAUAUAGCCAUUCUAUAAUGUUUGGAGAUUUUGGAUUACUCCUAAUUGUAUGCAAGUUGUCUUACUGUGUAUUGUCCCUUAAUUUCAGGACUCAGAAUUCAUGAUUGAAGAAAUGCAGGUUAGUUUAAACUUUGAAGGAAAUUUUUAAGGUGGCAAAAGGUUUUGGUGGCAUAUACACCUUAAUCUGUAGAUGGGAGUGAUUAGCUGUUUAAAAGUUAAAAUGUGACUGAGAAGGAAAUUGAGUAGGGCAAAUUUUAAAUGGGUAUUAUUUUUCAUCUUCAAACAGGCAGACCUGUUAUCCUAAACUAGGUGAGUCAGCUUUUGGUACAUGUGAUGAUUUUCAGUGUAACCAAUGAUGUAAUGAUUCUGCCAAAUGAAAUAUAAUGAUAUCACUGUAAAACCGUUCCAUUUUGAUUCUGAGGUUACUCUACUAACAAGCAUCACACAUUUGUAUUUUGCCCUGAUUAAUAUGUUGGCUUCGCUUUCAGGGUUUUUAAUGACCACAACAAGCAAGCAUGCAGCUUACUGCUUGAAAGGGUCUUGCCUCACCCAAGCUAGAGUGCAGUGGCCUUUGAAGCUUACUACAGCCUCAAACUUCUGGGCUCAAGUGAUCCUCAGCCUCCCAGUGGUCUUUGUAGACUGCCUGAUGGAGUCUCAUGGCACAAGAAGAUUAAAACAGUGUCUCCAAUUUUAAUAAAUUUUUGCAAUCCA